GUUUAUAUAAUUUGAAAAACUCACUACGAGAAGAACAACAUAAAAUAAUAAAUAACAUUGAAAAUCUAGAAUUAGAUAUAUAUUAUAGCACAGAUAGAAUAAAUUAUUAUACAAAACGAACUCGGUGAGGUAGUCGGUGGCAAUUCAGAUAUGCCCAUAGUCUGUAGUUCUUCUAUGACGAUGGGAUACUGGCGAAACACAUAUUCAUACCCUGCAUAUCAUUUCCCCAUAGAAAAGUAGGAGGCUUGUCGCCCAUUGGGAAUUAGGCUCUUUUCAAAGGCACCUUCAAGGAUUUAUCGCAGGAUUACCUUUAUACAUGUGAAGCCCAUUCCCAAAAAGGGGGAUUCGGAGGUAGGGAAGCUUAAAGAGACGCUCACUGCUUUAGAGGAAAAUGUCUACAGCUUGGAGGACCAUUUUUCUGCAGACAAAGAAACUCAAACCCAGUUGAGACUCCCAGCUAAAAAGUUAGCUGAUAAAGUCAGGAGCACAAAGUCGAGGGUUGAUCAUCCCUUCAUAAUUCAUUACAACGUGUACAGUUUUGAAGAAAAAGGCUGUUGAGGCUGUGGCUAUUCGAUCUGAAGAAAAACUUCACUUGAGGGAGGUCGAGACUCUUGGGUGGUUAAGAGAUUCUUUUUUUUCCUUAUUUUUUAUCAGAAUAGGAGAAGGUUAAGUCCACCGACAAAGGCUAAAAAAUAGCUCGAUUCGGCAUCCGUCCAUAAGGGACUAUGUUAAGAGCACCCCUCGCGGUAGUAUUUGGAUGGAAAAGUUGGGCAUCUUUGAGAAGGUUCUGGCCGACUCUUUUUUGAUCAAGGAGAAAGUUAACUUUUCUCGGAGGAUUAUACAUGCUAAUAUUUAUCCAUCCUUUGACCCCACCGAUGUGGCCUCUUCUCAAAAUGACCUAUCGUCGGGCAACAAUUCUGCAGAAGCAGUGGGCUCUUAAGUUGGGCUUGCAAGAGCCCCAUGUUCGGCUCAAGAGUUAUUUCCGUGUUUCCUGGAACUUGACACCUCCUAGUAUGUACUCUACUAUAAAUUUUAUGGAGAUGAGAAUUACAGUUAUUCAGUGCGAUGCAUUCCUAAUAAGCCUGUUUUAGAUCAAAAUCCGGUAUCAUUUUAUGUCUCAUUUUCUAAUGGUUGACUAAGGAUGCUAACUCAUUUUUAUCAUAACAUUCCUGACAAAUCCAUCCCCUUAUUUAGGAGGAAGGACUCUAUGUUGUAAGGUAACAUAAAAUGUCUGUCAGUUGUGCCC